UCGCGGCGCAAGCUGAGGAACUUCCGGGCUCCGCAGAGCACGAUGGCGGAUAACGUCCGCCCGGGGCGACCCGAGAGAAAGCGCAACAGAGAACAGACCGCCCGACUUGUCGGGUAAGGGUGAAACGGCGGUGUAAGAGACCACCGGGUUUUUGGCAACAAGAACCGCAUGGCAAGCCUCAUCGGGAGCAAGGCCAAGCAGAAGACAUUAAGAGCUGCUCGUUCGAGUCUUCGGGUAGGCCGCUUGAGCCUGACGGCAACGUCAGGUCCAGAUGGAUGAUCGUCCUUCCUUUCAGGAUGACAGAACCCGGGGUAUAAGAGGUCUC
rnacentral:RNase_P_RNA from 1 species